UACGGAGGGGGCUAGCGUUGUUCGGAUUCAUUGGGCGUAAAGGGUGUGUAGGUGGCGCCGUAAGUCGGGUGUGAAAUUUCGGAGCUUAACUCCGAAACUGCAUUCGAUACUGCGGUGCUUGAGGACUGGAGAGGAGACUGGAAUUCAUGGUGUAGCAGUGAAAUGCGUAGAGAUCAUGAGGAAGACCAGUGGCGAAGGCGGGUCUCUGGACAGUUCCUGACACUGAGACACGAAGGCCAGGGGAGCAAACGGG
rnacentral:rRNA from 2 species